CUUUCCAUCCUCUUACUCCGGCC
rnacentral:siRNA from 1 species